rnacentral:rRNA from 1 species
GAUGAACGCUGGCGGCGUGCCUAAUACAUGCAAGUCGAGCGAACAGACGAGGAGCUUGCUCCUUCGACGUUAGCGGCGGACGGGUGAGUAACACGUAGGUAACCUACCUAUAAGACUGGGAUAACUUCGGGAAACCGGAGCUAAUACCGGAUAAUAUUGCGAACCGCAUGGUUCGAUAGUGAAAGAUGGCUUUGCUAUCACUUAUAGAUGGACCUGCGCCGUAUUAGCUAGUUGGUAAGGUAACGGCUUACCAAGGCAACGAUACGUAGCCGACCUGAGAGGGUGAUCGGCCACACUGGAACUGAGACACGGUCCAGACUCCUACGGGAGGCAGCAGUAGGGAAUCUUCCGCAAUGGGCGAAAGCCUGACGGAGCAACGCCGCGUGAGUGAUGAAGGUCUUCGGAUCGUAAAACUCUGUUAUCAGGGAAGAACAAACGUGUAAGUAACUGUGCACGUCUUGACGGUACCUAAUCAGAAAGCCACGGCUAACUACGUG